rnacentral:tRNA from 7 species
GCCCGUUGGUCAAGUGGUUAAGACACCGCCCUUUCACGGCGGUAACACGGGUUCGAAUCCCGUACGGGUCA